UCGCACGCCACCACCACCUCACAACAUCAACCAGAAGCACGCCGGAGAGCACAUAAGAAAAUAUAUAUUUAAUUUUAAAAGAAAACACAAUGUGCUCAUCCAUCUAGGAAUAUCUCCCUAUUUGGAUCGCCGUCCUAGUUUAUUCAUCGGUGGUGGCGUGCUUUGGCCAUAACAAUUCUAACAUGUUAAUUACCAUAGCACCCCCCACCCCCUUACAGCUAUCGUGGCCUCGCGACUGAUUAUUCGCCUAAGGAUGGCCUGCAACAAAACAUCGGGGAUCGGCGAGGCUCCGCAGACGAAAUCGAUGUGCCAGGACAGGUAGGAUUACCAACGUGGGGAACACCCACACCCGAGAUGUCUCAUGCCGGGCUCUAGACAACGAAUGGUUGGUAACCAUUUCCAGACCCAAUGUUGUCGGCGUGUUGCUGUUCUUGACGCCGCGAAAUGUAACCAUCGCCCGGAACUCCUUGUCAAGAUGGAUGUGCGACAGACCACCGGCUCAUGAAGAUUGCUGUGUCAUAUCUCUACCUGACCACGUACGUGUCCCUCGACUCAGCCACUUUAUGCAAGCAUCAUCUCGUCUUCCAUUUCUCAGGUACCAUAAUCGUUGUGGUUGUCUAGUUUGUGUUCGUAGACGAUAGUUUCUAUUUUGUUUAAAUACCACUUUACCAAAGGGCAACGAAUGAGUUGUUUCUCGCUCAUGAUAACCAUGGUCAACAGACAGACGUUGGCCACUACCUUGUGUUUAUGCAUUUGUUGCUCUUGGGCGAAUAUGAUAGUGAAAAUAAAUCAUUGAUAUGCUAAUCGA